UUGAACGCUGGCGGUAUGCUUAACACAUGCAAGUCGAACGCGAGUAGCAAUACUUGAGUGGCGGACGGGUGAGUAAUGCGUAGGAAUCUGCCUGGUAGUGGGGGAUAACGUAGGGAAACUUACGCUAAUACCGCAUACGCCCUACGGGGGAAAGCGGGGGAUCGCAAGACCUCGCGCUAUUAGAUGAGCCUACGUCAGAUUAGCUUGUUGGUGGGGUAAUGGCCUACCAAGGCGACGAUCUGUAGCUGGUCUGAGAGGAUGAUCAGCCACACUGGGACUGAGACACGGCCCAGACUCCUACGGGAGGCAGCAGUGGGGAAUAUUGGACAAUGGGCGCAAGCCUGAUCCAGCAAUACCGCGUGUGUGAAGAAGGCCUUAGGGUUGUAAAGCACUUUCAAUUGGGAGGAAUACCUGGUCGCUAAUAUCGGCCAGAUUGACAUUACCUUUAGAAGAAGCACCGGCUAACUCCGU
rnacentral:rRNA from 1 species